CGCCCAGCAGCUGGCUGAGGAGAAUGAGGAAGGGCAGGAGGAGAGUCUGAGCGGGGAGGCGGCGGCGGCACCGGCAGCAGCAUCCGCGGCAGCCUCCCCCUCCGCGGCGGCCGCCGCAGCGCUCAUGGCAGCCCCCACCACCCCCGGCUUCCCUGGGCUGGGCCCGGAGCCCGCGACAAGGCGCGGCCACGGCUUCCACUUCACAGAAGCCGGUACUAGACCAGACCCCCAGUUCCGCCGCAGCUACCGAGACCUGGCUGGCUGGCUGGCUGACUUCCAGGCGCUGCUCUGUUUUCCGCAAGGAGCACAUUCCAAAGCCCUGCGGCAGCAAUGGAGAAGACCCAUCCCCGAGUAGCCACUAGAUGAGCCGGUAGCAAUCGUAGAUGUACGAUGAAGACGUUCUCUAAAAAAACCAGGGCCUAAGCUGUUCAGGACUUUAUAGGUAAUUACCAGUGCCUUGUAUUUUGCCCAGAAACUUACCAGCAGCCAGUGUAGCUCUUUCAACACAGGAGUAAUAUGGUCUUUCUGAGAUGACCCAGAGACCAACCUGGCCACCGCAUUCUGUAACAACUGCAGUUUCCGGACUAUGUACAAAGACAGCCCCACAUAGAGCGCAUUGAAGAAGUCCAAUCUGGAGGUUACAAGCAUAUGUACCACUGUUCUGAGGUUGUUCAUAUCAAGAAACGGACGCAGCUGGCAUAUUAGCCGAAACUGAUAGAAAGCACCUCUAGCCACUGCCUCAACCUGGGACACCAGGGAGGGGUUUGGAUCCAGAAGCACUCCCAGACUGAGUACCUGUUCCUUCCAGGGGAGUGUGACCCUAUCCAGAUCUGGCAGAUCAAAAUUGCCUCCCGAGUUCCGACCCCGCACAAUAAGUACCUCCAUCUUAUCUCCACCCCAUAACCUGCCCAAAAGCCAGUUUGAAAUGAGUCUAGAUAAUCAGUUUCCUCCAAGAUCGCCAGGAGCUGGGAGGCCACCAGCCUCUGAAUCACCUUGCCCAGCCAUGGAAGGAUGGAGACAGGCCUGUAGUUGCUCAACUGCAAGGGAUACAAGGCAGGCUUCUUCAGAAGUGGUCUGAUUGCCUCCUUGAGACAAGGAGACAUCCUGCCCUCCCUCAAAGAAGCAUUUCUAAUCUCUACCAGCCCCUGAACAAUAGCCUCCCUACCUGAUAGUAUAAGCCAUGUUGGGCCAGGAUCAAGAGGGCAGAAGGAAGGCCGCACCAUUCCAAGCAACCUAUCCACAUCCUCAGGGGUCACAAACUGAAACUGAUCCAGGGUCACCACAUAAGAGGAACUGCUGGACACCUAGGCAUCUGGACACCUCAGCAACAAUUGUGAAGUUUAACUCUAAGUUGGCCCGAAUAUAAGAGAUUUUGUCCAGUAAAACAUUGCUGUGUGUAAUUGUUGGUUCAAAGUACUGAUUCAAGUGGGAAGGGGCAUGCACCAGCCCCCUCACAACCCUGAACAACUCUGCCACACGUGAAAUUGUGGAUGCGAUACAGGCAGAAAAGAAUUGCUUUGCCGCAUGUAUCGCCUGAGCAUAGAUCUUCAAAUGCGCUCUAUGUAAUAAUCUGUUGGAUUAUUUAUUUAUUUAGCAUAUAUCUAUACCGCCCAAAACAGAAAACAGGACAAUAAAAACCAAUAAAAAAUUAACAUAUUUCAACAAAAAUUUGAAUUUUUUAAAAUUUAAAAUUUAAACAGUUAAAACUAUUAAAACAAAACAAUAUAUAAUUAAAAUCCUGGGUGAACAAAUGCAUCUUGACUGCCUUUUUAAAAGUUGUAAGAGAUGGGGAGGCUCUUAUUUCAGCAGGAAGUGUGUUCCAAAGCCUCAGGGCAGCAAUGGAGAAGGUCCGUCCCCGAGUAGCCACCAGACGAGCCAGUGGUAACUGCAGACGAACCUCUCCAGAUGAUCUCAAUGGGCGGUAUGGUUCAUAGCAAAUAAGACAUUCCAGGGCCAAGCUGUUUAGGGCUUUAUAGGUUAUAACCAAAACCUUGUACUUUGCCCGGAAACUUAUUGGCAUCCAGUGCAGAUCUUUUAAGAUAGGAGUGAUAUGGUCUCUCCAAGAUGACCCAGAGACCAACCUGGCUGCCGCAUUCUGGACUAACUGCAGUUUCCAGACUACGUACAAAGGCAGCCCCACAUAGAGCGCAUUGCAGUAGUUGAGUCUUUCUCCACUUGUGCUCUAGUAUCUUCUACCUCACCGCUUAAGCCCCCGGAGUUCUUCCGUAUAUUAAGGGGCCAGUUUCAAAGUGGGUCGGAGUGGAUGCUUAGGAGCAAUUGUGUCCACUGCCCUGGUGAGUUGGCUGUUCUAAUUCUUCACCAGGACGUCAACAGGGUCACCAGCAGAGCCAACACUAAAUCCCUCCAAGGCCUCUCGGAAUCCUAUUGAAUCCAAUAACCUUCUCAGGCAGAGCAUCCUAAUGGGCCCCUCACCCCUGCAGAGGUGAUACAUGAGCGUGAGUCCAAAUUUAACCAGAUGGUGGUCUGUCCAUGACAAUGGGGAAAUCACAGGAGUCUCCACCCAUGGUCGGAACACCACCCUGAUCAGAGUGAAAGACAAGAUCAAGUGUGUGACCAGCAAUGUGUGUUGGUCCAAAGACCACUUGGGAUAGGCCCAUAGACAUCAUGGGCCUAUCCCAAAUGAACUCCUGAGCUGCCCUGGACAAAUUGGUCCCAAAGUGAAUAUUAAAGAUCCACCACCAUCACAAGCCUGGGAGACUCCAAGGCCAGGCUCGAGACCAAGUCCAUCAGCUCAGUUAGGGACUCUGUUGGGCAGUGGGGCGAUCGGUACACCAACAGAAGUCCCAGUCUAUCCCUGGUCCCCAAACUUAAGUACACACAUUCAAUAUGGUCAGACACUUUGACAGGGAUCCUGGUAAGGAAGAUGUUGUUCUUACAGAUCACAGCCACUCCACCUCCCUGCCCACCUCCCCUCACCUGCUCCUCAACAGAGUACCUUAGAGGGAGAAGCUGGUAGCAGACAGGGCCGCCAGCCUCCCACAACCGAGUCUCUGCUAUACAUACCAGGUUGGCCGCUUCAUCCAGAAUCAAAUCAUGGAUCACUUCAGGUUUAUUCUGGACUGACCUGGCAGUGCAAAGAAGCAAGGUGAAGCUCUCUGGGUGGUUGGCACUGCUCUGCAAGGUCAAAGAGAUGGCAGGACAGCCAGAAGUGGAAAUAGUGAUUAUGUUUCUGAAUUCCCUCCCCCUGCAAUGGCCUGCUGACCUGCCAAUGCUACUUCUUCUGCUCCCCACUACCACCGGAAUAGCCACCUCAUAAUCUGCAAAUAUGCCCCCUGUCUCCCCAUCUCCAGACAAACCCAGGCACAUUAAAACUAAACUCACCCCGGAUUUAAAACAGAAACUGAAUUAAAAUACCCACCACUAUCACACCAAUGAAGAAUCCCAGAGCAGGCAGUCUGGCCCUUGCACUUGCUAUCCCCCGAAGUGGCUGCCCCUUGGUGUUGCCCCUUCAGUGGUGGGCCCACUAUAGGCAGCAUUCCUAUAAUCCUGUAAGAUAUUCCCCUUAGGGGAUGGAGCCGCUGUGGGAAGAGCACAAGGUUCCAAGUUCCCUCCCUAGCAUCUCCAAGAUAGGGCUGAGGGAGAUUCCUGCCUGCAACCUUGGAGAAGCCGCUGCCAGUCUGUGUAGACAAUACUGAGCUAGAUGGACCUAUGGUCUUACUCAGUAUAUGGCAGCUUCCUAUGUUCCUGUAAAAGACCCAGAGCUGGGCAGGUGGUACCAGGACCUGCUGAGUCACUCACCCCUGGCCCCAGUCCUGCACUCACUCGCCACAGAUGUUCAGCAGGGACAGCAGGCCACAGUACCACAGGGGAAACAAGGAGCAGGCAGGUAGUAGCAGAAGGAGCAAACAUCACACACACACAGUCUCUCACCCUGGGCAGCACUGAACGGGAAGUAUAUGUUUUCUUUCUUUCCUCUGCUGGACUCUUAUGCAAAAGUAAAUUUCCUUUAGCUAUUUUUACAUGUAUUAUGACAGUUCUAAAGUAAAUUGAAGAUAUAUUAAUUUAUUUGAACAAAUCAGUUACUGUAGACAUGUACAAAGAACAAUACAGAAACAAUCAAGGGGUAAGAAAUAAAACAAGGAGCAAAUAAGUACUUAUUAAUGAAUUAAUUUACUCUUAAACAGCUGCACCAGCCUAUUGCUGAAAUGCCAUAUUGAAGUACCACAGGCACAAUCCUACAACCUUUUCCCUCUGAUUGCUAAAGCAAAUUGAUGAUGUUUACAGAAUUAUCUUUCAGUUUCCUGACUUGCAGCAACUAUGUAACUGAGCCCAUCCCAUUUGUACUUAGUGGGAUUUGCUUCAAUUUCUGCAGGCAAUAUAUCUUCCUAACGCUAGAUGGCAACAUUUUGAGGAAGAUUAUUUCCUGAACACUUGAUACAAAAGAAAACAAGUGUUAAUUGACAACAAUGAAACUAUCAUUCAGGAUUUAUUAAUGCUGACCAUUUUAAAUUUUAGUACAAAUAUUACCUCGGGCUUGUGGCAAAAAACAUGUGCCGUGCUCUCAAAUUGUGGAUGGCAAAUGUAUUUAAAUAUCCGGGUUUUCUUGCAAUAAACACAGCUAUGCCAAUAAGGGCUGAUCCUUUUCUAAUAAUUGCUUCCUUGCUUAUUGCAGGAGGAAUAAUAGCAUAGGCCAUUUAAAUGUGUGUAGACCAUUCACAGCCACCUAAUGGUGCAGUGCGGGUAAGUAACAUGCCUAGGGAGCAAGAGGUUGCUGGUUCGAAUCCCUGCUGGUAUUCUAUAUCAGGCAGCAGUGAUAUAGGAAGAUGCUGAAAGCCAUCAUCUCAUACUGCACGGGAGAUGGCAAUGGUAAACCCCUCCUGUAUUCUACCAAAGAAAACCACAUUGCUCUGUGGUCGCCAGGAGUUGACUCGAUGGCACAACUUUACCUGUGCCAUCCAGGAGCAACCACUCUAGCAAACCUGCAUGUGGUCUCUGGAGAAGAUUGUAGCCAACUGGAAGAUUCAGGAGUAGCUCAAGGUUUCAGGAGGCCCUCAGCAAAUUGCCCUCCUCCACGGAUCUCCCUCCUACCCGAAUAGGCUGCGAGAGAAUUGCUCCAGCACCAGAGACAAUUGGCACAGAGGUGAUCUCAAGGACGAGCUAAGAUUAUCAUUAAAAAUCAGCAGUUGGGAACACUUCUGUACAUUUUUUAAGCUUCAACUAUAAGUAGAAGGAAAAUUAGGAACUCUUGAAUAACUUGAAUAACUGUAUUGUGAUCAUUGAUCAAAUUAGGAGCUUCUACCCUUGGGGACUGACUCCUCAGCCCUGCUGAUGCAAGGUUGAUGCUGUUGGUUUUUAUUAACCAACAUCAACCUUGCAUUAGCAGGACUGAGGGAUCAGUCCCCAGGUAUAUAAUUCCUACUCUACUAUACAAUACUACACAAUAAUUCCUAUGCUACUACACAGGCAUUUAAAUCUGCAGCCUGAUUAUUGUAUAUUUGCUGCUGUUUUUACUGGUGUUUUAUGUAUACUUUUAAAACAUGUUGGUUUAAGACUUUUGUAUGCUGCUCUGGGGUCUUAGGAUGAAGGGCAGUUUAUAAACAGAGAAAUAAAUAAAUGCAUGUUAAUGAUUGCA